rnacentral:rRNA from 1 species
AACGAACGCUGGCGGCAUGCCUAACACAUGCAAGUCGAACGAGACCUUCGGGUCUAGUGGCGCGCGGGUGCGUAACGCGUGGGAAUCUGCCCUUGGGUUCGGAACAACAGUUGGAAACGACUGCUAAUACCGGAUGAUGACUUCGGUCCAAAGAUUUAUCGCCCAGGGAUGAGCCCGCGUAGGAUUAGCUUGUUGGUGAGGUAAAGCUCACCAAGGCGACGAUCCUUAGCUGGUCUGAGAGGAUGAUCAGCCACACUGGGACUGAGACACGGCCCAGACUCCUACGGGAGGCAGCAGUGGGGAAUAUUGGACAAUGGGCGAAAGCCUGAUCCAGCAAUGCCGCGUGAGUGAUGAAGGCCUUAGGGUUGUAAAGCUCUUUUACCCGGGAUGAUAAUGACAGUACCGGGAGAAUAAGCCCCGGCUAACUCCGUGCCAGCCGCCGCCGUAAGAC